rnacentral:SRP_RNA from 1 species
GCUGGGUGCCGUGGUCUACACCUGUAGUCCCAGCUACUAGAGAGGCCGAGGCAGGAGAAUUGUUUAAGCCAAGGAAUUCUAGGCUGUUGUGUGCUAUGCUGAUGUCCACACUUAGGGUGUCCACACUAAGUUCAGCAUCAGUGUGGUGACCACCAGUUUGCCUAAUGAGGGAUAAACCUGCCCAGGUCAGAAACAGAGCAGGUCAAAACUCCCAUGCUGAUCAGUGGUGAGAUCGAGCCUGUGAAUAGACACUGCCCUCCAAUCUGGGCAACAUAGCAAGACAUCAUCACUUU